GCUGCCUGGACACUUGUAUGAAUCUCAGCAAACUAAGCAGGUUUGGGCCUGUUUAGCACUGGGAAGGGAGACCUCAGGAGAGAUGGUC
rnacentral:rRNA from 1 species